rnacentral:rRNA from 1 species
AAUUAUGGCUACAGUAUAUGCAAUUUCUACGCCUGAUCUCGUCCGAUCUCGGAAGCUAAGCAGGGUCGGGCCUGGUUAGUACUUGGAUGGGAGACCGCCUGGGAAUACCAGGUGCUGUAAGCU